rnacentral:rRNA from 1 species
UACAGGGGGUGCAAACGUUGCUCGGAAUUAUUGGGCGUAAAGCGCGCGUAGGCGGUUGCUUAAGUCGGAUGUGAAAGCCCUUGGCUUAACUGAGGAAGUGCAUCCGAAACUGAGCAGCUUGAGUUUGGGAGAGGGAUGCGGAAUUCCAGGUGUAGCGGUGAAAUGCGUAGAUAUCUGGAGGAACACCGGUGGCGAAGGCGGCAUCCUGGACCAACACUGACACUGAUGAGCGAAAGCCAGGGGAGCAAACGGG